rnacentral:lncRNA from 1 species
GAAUGGAACAGAUAAGAAGAUACUGAGAUUGGACGGUGCUGCCGUGCGGCCGCCGCAGGACAGUUUUAAUAUCCCUGUUUCUCAGGCUGUAGAUGAAGGGGUUCAGCAUGGAGGUGAUCACCGUGUACAUCACUGAGGCCACUGCAGCCUUUCUCGGGGAAGAUGACACAUCUGAACUGAGGUACCCUCCAACGCCUGUUCCGUAAAAUCAGCAAACAACUGACAG